CCGAGCCCGCCGCCGGGGAGCCGAGCCGGGGCCGGGCCCUCUCCACCGAGCCCCGGCAAGGGGCGGAGGCGGGCAGGGAGCGGGGGGUCCCUCACUCCCGGCUGGGGAGGGGAGGGGCCGGCUCUCCCCUCGGCCGCUGCCGGCACGGACGCCGCGGAAACGCCCCGGGACCGCGCCGCCGAUAGCGAUCGGCCCCGGAGGACAGCGGCGAAGGAGAGAAAGAGAAGGGAGGAAGGGCGGGGAAGAGGAGAGAGGAUGCCCCGGCUCGGCGGCGGUCGCCGUGUCUCCCGGCUCGGCGGCGUCUGUCUCCGCUCGCCUGCCCUGAGCCGAGCGAAGCCGCCGCUGCCGCCUUUCUCCGCCCCGGUAUCGCCCUCCCCUCGCUCGCUCCCUCACACACCGUCCCGUGCGCGCCCCCGCCCGGCCGCCCGCCUUUCACCGGGGGCGCGCGCGUGUGCGCGUGCGUGAGCGCGCGCGCUCCCGCCGGCCGUCACCUCAGGAGGGCGCCCCCUCCCCUUCCCGCACCGGGGAGGGGUGCGGGGGGGGGGGUCCGGGCAGUGCGCGGUGCUCCAGGUAGCUGGAAAAAGGGGAAAUACCCUUUUAGUGUACCUGGCAAAGGAUUUCAAGUUCCUCUUUGCUGAGGGAGUUCAGACGAGAGGGUUUUGCUGAUGAAGCUCUGAUCAGCUGGGUUAUUUGAAGAAGGAGAUCCCUUGGAGGCCUUGGCUACAUUAAGCAAUUAAAUUAUUGUUUUUAUCCAGCAGCAUAGCUCCCGUGGCUAUUGCAAUGGGAAGUAAAACAGCUGCUGUAAAGCCCAGCAAGUGACAUGAUUCCUGUGAACAGUUGUAAAAAGAAUUUGGAGAUAUUUAUGAAUGGAAAGCAUUAUACGCAUAAAAUACAUUGUAAACAGGACCGUGUGUCUGAGCUAUCAUCAAGUCAUCUUCUAUUUAAGGUACUGCAUAAAGUUGCUCAAAACCAUUAAAUGAAAUUUUCCUCUGUAUUCUUUCUGGUAUUUUUAUCGUUUGCAUAGUGAGAAGACAGAAUCCUAUUUGAGGAGUUUCCAGUUCAGCCCAGUAUUCCUGUUGGUAGUCCCACUGAAGCCGGUGGCAAAGUUAGAUUUAACUCUGUAAAUGGUCGCAUGCUUGAUAAAUAAUAGUGUGAGAGAAGCAAAGGAAUGGGGAACAAAAACUGCUUUACUUGCAAGUGCUAAUGAAAAAUGGUUUUUACUUCUUUCCUUACUGAACAAUGUUCUUUUCUUUUUUAAGGUGCUUAAGGUAACUAAGCUACUGUAAGCCAUGAUUGUGAUUGUUUGUUCAGCACUCAAAGUAUAAUACACUUUUUACAGAACAAAUAAGAUAAAUGCCCUUCCCUGUAGAGCUUGCAAGCUGAAUUUUGUCACAGGUGAGAGCAACAACCAGAAGAGAGAUCCAUAAAGAAGAAACACAGAUAUACAUGGAGACCUUUGCAAUCCUCUCUGUUCCCCGAGACAUCAAGAAGUGCAGAGCCCAUGUGGUUACCUGCCGCAAGGGGGUCGUGUCUGUGCAGCUUCUCUCAUUAAUCAUAUUGGCGUAUGUCUGCCCCUGGGGGAUCUGAUGGUUAUAAGCAACAACAACAUACAGGAUCCCUUUAUUUCUGCUCCUGGGCUAGUGCAGUUCAUGCAAACAGUUCUCUUGCAUAGGGAAGGUUUGCGUGAAGGUAGGGUCACGCUCUGCUGGUCUCCUGGCCGCUCGCCAGCUGCCCAUAUGGUUGCCAGAAUGCAGCAUUAAUUUUCUGAGGCAGCAUGCACCUGAUGUAUAGUGCCAUGCCAUAUAAAUCAGCACGCUAUUGGAAGCUAUAAAUUCAUAGAUAAGACUGAAAUUAUUAAAGUAACCCUUCUCACGGCUUCCCAAGCGUGCCUAAGUUUCUAGAGCAGAAGUAUCGGAGCUGUAAUUCUGCAUAACGCAAUGCGAAAGCUUACUUUAGAGCAACUAACACUGCAAACCUGGGUCAUCAAACUGCCAUCCUUACAUAGACAACACACCUGCUGAGGUAAAUAAAUUAGCCGGAAUAAGGGUUGCAGCUUUGGACACUGUAAACACAUGUGAGUCAGGGAGGGGAAAGAAGUUUUUUCAUUGCACCAUUAUCUCGCCCGCAUGAGUUGCACACACUGUACAUCAAAGUAUCAAUUUCGUAGCCUAAUUGGUAAACAAACAGUAUGUGUAGGCUACGUGGGCAAGUUCAUGCUGCAUGAAAAGUCUUUACGUUUAGGUCUCACUUUUCUUCCUGUGUGAAUGUAGGAGCUUAUAUUUAAUAACCUUGACCUCUUUAAACAAUAAGGAGGAGGGGGGAGUAGAGGGGAAAAACUGGGCAAGUGUGGCAAGUUAUGUAAUUGUGUUUUGGAAGUCUUUAGGUUUUCAGUUCAAUUACCCUCGCUCUAUUUUUAGGGAGAGGGAGGCACAAAACUGUAUAAAUGGCAGCUGUGUCAAUAAAUGUAUCUUACUUUUGGUUUAUGUAUGGAUGAAUUACAAAACCUGUCAAGAAAAUCCCUUUAAGGAAGAUGCUUAAUUUGUAUUAGGUAUGGAAGAUCUUUCAAAGUAAUUUAUCGAUAAACGCUUCUUGGGUUAAGACCCCUCCAGUUAUAUUUGUACUAAUAAGCUAAAGAAUGUAAGGGCCUUUCUCUAGCCCUACAGCCAGCUGAACUAG